UGGGGAAUAUUGCACAAUUGGCGAAAGCCUGAUGCAGCGACGCCGCGUGAGGGAUGAAGGCCUUCGGGUUGUAAACCUCUUUCGCUCAUGGUCAAGCUGCAACUGUGGGUUGUGGUGAGGGUAGUGGGUAAAGAAGCACCGGCUAACUACGUGCCAGCAGCCGCGGUAAUACGUAGGGUGCGAGCGUUGUCCGGAAUUAUUGGGCGUAAAGGGCUUGUAGGCGGUUUGUCGCGUCUGCCGUGAAAUCCUCUGGCUUAACUGGGGGCGUGCGGUGGGUACGGGCAGACUUGAGUGCGGUAGGGGAGACUGGAACUCCUGGUGUAGCGGUGGAAUGCGCAGAUAUCAGGAAGAACACCGGUGGCGAAGGCGGGUCUCUGGGCCGUUACUGACGCUGAGGAGCGAAAGCGUGGGGAGCGAACAGG
rnacentral:rRNA from 1 species